rnacentral:lncRNA from 1 species
GGUGCGCCCACGACUCCUGCUGAGCCUGUCCCGCUCGCACCCCCCGAGGCUUCGGGGACGGUCACAAGGAUCGCGACCCCAGAGAGACACUGCACUGCGCUACACACUGCAGCUUCGAGGAAACGCCCAUACAGGUUGAGUAUGGGGGCUCCGUAACUCCCUUCAGGAAUGAAGUACUGACGGCAGGGGCUGACCAUACCUAGUGUUGCCUAGGGCUUCAAGAGAUACUCAAGGAGGGGGAUUGUGCCUUUGAAUAAGGACAGCUAAGAAGUCAAGGACAAAUAAAAGGACAAGGAGAGGUAGAGCAGCAAGGUGGAAGUCCAGAAGAAGUCAUCGAUUCAUCAAUCUGCAAUCAACUGCUGCUACUAUGACAAGGCCAUUAGUAAAAAGGAGACUCUUCAACUGUAUCAACACAUUAAUUAUUUUGUCUUUGGUUCAGUCCACACAAGUGAGGCCUCAUAGACUGUGCUUAACUGUGGAACCGGGACACAUAGUUAAUGUGACACGGAUUUGGAAAUCUGAGAAUGGAGGUGACGACAGCCUUAUCUGGAAUAGGGCGACGAAUGGAUCCAUCCCUAAAUGCCACAGUGAAACAGACUUUAUAUGCCAAGAAAAGGACAACAUUUUGAUUUUCACUAGAGACCAAACAGAAAGACAGGUGUACUCAUGUGAAGGGAAUACAUCAAAAAAAUGUGAAAAAUGCCUAGAGGAAGACAACAUUUCUGACGAUUCUGCACUCAGCCCAACAACCACUCAUGCCGUGAGCACUUCAAUGAAAACUAGCAUUGGAGUUCCAGUUGGAGUAAUUCUACCAUUGACUGUAGUGGGAAUUUAUGUGUGAAGGAGGAACAGAAUCUCGUUUGAGAAAGCCAUCUCUCCAGCGCUCAUGAGUGAUCCCACAACAACCUAGCAAGUCCUACGUUCUCCUCGCUCUCUCAUUCGCACUCCUGACGUCCAUGGCUCCCAACACUUGCAUCAUCUCCUCGACUAUGAAGUCUGAUUCUCCUCAAGACAUACGUUUGUGCAUUGGCCGACCAACGCCUGUUGCUGACCACAAAUCUCAUCUGCUUUCUGGUGCACUGACAAUAAAGAUCCUGCGCCUCACA